rnacentral:lncRNA from 1 species
CCUGAAUGUAAUUCAGUAACUAUUGCAUAAUCAUAUGAACAAAGACAGUCCAAAUCAUGCAAGGAACUUUCUAAAACUAGGAUGUUUUGGAAAGAUAUGGAAGUAUUGCAGGAAAAUUAUAAAAAUAAUGGCAAAUCAAAUUUAUCUUGAUUCUAUUUAACACCAAUGUUUCUAUAAUGAAAUUGAGUACAGAAUGUUUGAGGGAAGAUUAAAUAAAAAGUAAGGAUAUUUAAACUGGUGCUCCAAAAAUACAACAUUGUCUCAGAACACUGAAUGCAACGUUUGAAGUUUUACAAUGUUAAAAAAAAAAAGAAAAAGAAAAAAAAACACCACCUAAAGUAUUGUGAGCACAAAUAAAUAGACUUACACAACAUAGUCCAUUUAAAAGCUUUUUGAACUGACCAAAAAAUAUAGAAUUUUUAUAGAGCUAAACCUUCUCUCUCUUAUCUCUUGGGCAAAAAAAAAACAAAAAAGAAAUAGUGUAAUAACAAUUAACAUUGUUUUAAAGUAGUUUUAAUGAGUAAGUAGAGUUAUGUUUUCACUGCCUUAUAUAACUUCCUGUUCGCUGUCAGUUUGUGUGAAGCUAUUAUUACUUCAUUACAUUACUGGCUUGACACAUGCAUUAAAUCCACUGUGAAGAGACACAAAGCAGAAAGGAAGACACACGGUCUCUAUAACAAACUGUUACAGAAAAGCACCUGCAGAGAGAGAUUUAUGCUCCCUGCCUCACAUCCUGAGGCAGAUGGAGUGAAUCAUCAUUGCAGGUGCCAGUUUAUCUUCAGACUGAGGAGAAACCUGGAGACUAAACUGUGGCCUGAUGUGUAA